AACGCACAUUGCGCCCCUUGGUAUUCCAUGGGGCAUGCCUGUUCGAGCGUCAUUUGUACCCUCAAGCUUUGCUUGGUGUUGGGCGUCUUGUCGGAUUAUCCGACUCGCCUUAAAUACAUUGGCAGCCGGCACUUUGGCCUAGGAGCGCAGCACAUUUUGCGAUCAUAAGCCGUUGUGACAGCAUCCAUAAGAUUUAUUUUACCACGUUUGACCUCGGAUCAGGUAGGGAUACCCGCUGAACUUAA
rnacentral:misc_RNA from 1 species